GGGGAAUUUUCCGCAAUGGGCGAAAGCCUGACGGAGCAACGCCGCGUGAGGGAGGAAGGCCUUAGGGUUGUAAACCUCUUUUCUCUGGGAAGAAGAUCUGACGGUACCAGAGGAAUAAGCCUCGGCUAACUCCGUGCCAGCAGCCGCGGUAAGACGGAGGAGGCAAGCGUUAUCCGGAAUUAUUGGGCGUAAAGCGUCCGUAGGUGGUUAAGCAAGUCAGUUGUUAAAGCCCACAGCUCAACUGAGGAUCGGCAAUUGAAACUGAAUGACUUGAGUGUGGUAGGGGUAGAGGGAAUUCCUAGUGUAGCGGUGAAAUGCGUAGAUAUUAGGAAGAACACCAGUGGCGAAGGCGCUCUACUGGGCCAUAACUGACACUGAUGGACGAAAGCUAGGGGAGCGAAAGGGAUUAGAUACCCCAGUAGUC
rnacentral:rRNA from 1 species